UCCUCCACAUUCCUGCUCCUGGACUGUGUUGUCUGUGGAUGGACAGACAGACGGACAGAGCUCCUUUUUCCCUUUUUUUCUGCUUUUAGUUAGUUUUAGCUAGCUGAGGCAAAGAAGUUCCCUGGACUGUGAUUUUUUCCUUUUUUCUUGGACCUGUUCAAGCCUGCUCUGGACUGAACACCCAGAAGAGCACCGGCAGCUCCACCUGUGGCCCCCUUGGCCGGGCCUGGGCCGCAGCGUUUCCAGCGCCGGAGGGACUGAUCAGAGACUGAGUGAGACGAGCUGCAACCCGGGGAGGAGACUGUUCUGAGUUUGCUUUCUUUGGAGCCAAACUCGAGGAUUACAUCAUGCUAUCCAGACCCAUAGGACUGAACACACCUGCACAUCCCCUCCAACCUGGAGACUGGGUCUAUGUUAAGUGGUGGGACAGUGAUCCUCUACAAGCCAAGUGGAGAGGACCAUUCCAAGUUCUACUGACCACCCUCACCACAGUCAAAGUUGCUGGCAAAGGGCCCUGGAUUCACUACUCCAGAGUUAAGAAAGUUUCUGCUCCUGAAACAACUGUAAAAACAGACUGAUGCAGAUGAAAAAAGUUUUAACUGAUUUCUCUUCUGUGCCCAAAGAACUGUUCACAAUAAUCAUUAUUCUUUUUUGCAUGAUACCUGACUGUGCAUUACUGUUGUUAGAUGUUUAUUAUUAUUUAUUAUUAAUAUUAUUAUAUAUUUAUCUAUUAUUCCACAUUUACUGUUAGAUAUUUAUCGAGUAUUAGAUGUUUAUUUACUAUUAAUCUGUUGUUAGAUGUUUAUUAGAUGUUUAUAUUGAUCGUUGUUUACUAUUGUUAGAUACUUAUCUUUUUUUAAAUACCUAUUAUUAGUAGAUAUUUAGAAUGGAGUUUUGGCAAGUUAAAGCUCUUGUUGAGCCUCUAAAGGGGGGAAAUGAUGCCUCAGGUUUUAGCUUUUAUAUUUUUCAGAUUUUGUACUGCUUUAGUGUGUAGUUCUGAGCUUCAUAUUAGGGGAUAGUAAGCUCUCUCCACAGAAUAGGCAGACAAAACAAUUCCUUCUCUAGCUGGGGACUAAGAACAAAUGAUCCAAAUUUCAGGCCAAAGAGCAUAAACAACGUGAACUGAAGAGACAAAACCAAGAAGGACAGGACUUGAUAAGAAAAAGCUGUAAUUGGACAAUUAGCUCCAAUAUGCUAAUGGACCAGAACUCAUAAAAGUGUGAGACCCUGUGACCGGUCGUCCAUUUUGUGACCAGUUUGGGUUCAUUUUGGGUGUAGCCCUAUCUGGGCUCUUGUAUCCAUCCCAAGGUGUAUCCAUUGACGCCUUCUAAUAAGCACCUACUUUAUUCUUUAACUCCGUCUAUUCUCUGUUCUAGGUCAGUUUUCACUCCAAACUCUCCAAAGGCACUGUUGGGUAGGGAUUUGUUGGAGCAGCUGGAAGCAAAGAUCACAUUUAAGAAUGGGGAGAUUAUUUUGGAGGUAGAAAUCAACAAUAUGUGGAGAUGCUAAGCUUAAUGUUAACAACUGGUAAAACCAAAACUGAGGAUGAAGAAGAGAUUAACAAGAAAAUAAUAGAUCAGGUAUUUCCUGGGGUAUGGGCCUCUAACAUACCAGGAAGAGCAAAGAAUGCACCUCCUGUGCAAGUCAAGCUUAAGGAAGGAAAACAACCAGUUAGGGUCCAACAGUACUCUUUGAAAAAGGAAGACAGAGAAGUUAUUAGGCCGGUAAUGGAGAACUUUUUGCAGCUGGAACUAUUAAAAGAGUGUCAAUCUGAUUUUAA